UCCUCCCUCUUUCUUCGUGCUUAACACAUGCAAGUCGAACGGAAAGGCCCCUUUGUUGGUACUCGAGUGUUGAACGGGUGAGUAACACUUGAGUAACGUGCCCUUGACUUCGGGAUAACUUCAGGAAACUGGGGCUAAUACCGGAUCGGAAUCCUUGCUGCAUGGUGGGGGUUGGAAAGCUUCGGCGGUUUUGGAUGGACUCGCGGCUUAUCUGCUUGUUGGUGUGGUAGUGGCUUACCAAGGCUUUGACGGGUAGCCGGCCUGAGAGGGCGACCGGCCACAUUGGGACUGAGAUACGGCCCAGACUCCUACGGGAGGCAGCAGUGGGGAAUAUUGCAGAAUGGGCGGAAGCCUGAUGCAGCAACGCCGCGGGCGGGAUGACGGCCUUAGGGUUGUAAACCGCUUUCAGCAGGGGCGAAGCUUGUGGUGACGGUACCUGCAGAAGAAGCACCGGCUAACUACGUG
rnacentral:rRNA from 1 species